UGCGCCUUGCCAGCCCGCUCAGAAACUCAAAGGAAUUGGACGGGGGCCCGCACAAGCGGAGGAACAUGUGGUUUAAUUCGAUGAUACGCGAGGAACCUUACCUGGGCUAGAACGCAUUCGGAAUCAGGCCGAAAGGCCUGCGCCAGCGAUGGCCGCUUGCGAGGUGCUGCAUGGUUGUCGUCAGCUCGUGCCGUGAGGUGUCGGGUUAAGUCCCAUAACGAGCGCAACCCCUACUGCUAGUUGCCAGCGGGUCAUGCCGGGGACUCUAGCGGAACUGCCAGCGUAAGCUGCGAGGAAGGUGGGGAUGACGUCAAAUCAGCACGGCCCUUACGUCCAGGGCUACACACGUGUUACAAUGGCCGGUACAGAGGGCAGCCACCCCGCGAGGGGGCGCGAAUCCCGAAAGCCGGUCCCAGUUCGGAUCGGAGUCUGCAACCCGACUCCGUGAAGCUGGAUUCGCUAGUAAUCGCGCAUCAGCCACGGCGCGGUGAAUACGUUCCCGGGCCUU
rnacentral:rRNA from 1 species